rnacentral:misc_RNA from 1 species
CGGUGCAAGGUGUGGCCUUCACGCUUAUUGCCCAUCGCUUUCACAUUGACGUGUGCCUCUGCUGCUGCUGUAGUGUCCGCAUCUCUCAUCUUUUUUUUUGCGUUGCUUGUAAGGCACUUAUAUCCGCCUUUGAAGUGCGCCUACGUUUUGCAUGUGUGUGUGUAUGCAUUGUGUGUUUUGGUGCUCUUCGCUAAUAAUAAGUCUCAUCCCCUUCAUGCGCGACGUGCGUCUGAACACGCGUUCAUGCACGUGCGUUUUGGCGUGCUCAGACUUCUGUCUCCGUUUUUCGCUGUUCGCUUUACAGUAUAUUGCACAUAUAUAUAUGUGCUAUUUAUAAUAAUAAUAUAUAUACACCUAUAUGUAUUUAUUUAUAUAUAUAUAUUUUUUUGGUUUUGCUGAUCGUUUUAUCGUCGGAGCGAAACGCUGUGCAUCAACGAGCAGCGUCUGACAUCUACCGCGAUAGGACACAGGUGAGAGAAGCGAGAAAGAAUAUUCCCACAAGAGCCUCACCGGGUUCUACGAAGUUGUGCUUUCAAGUAGGAUGAACACGGCGACUGUGAUGAUGGCGCGCGGCCCGGUCACCCCACACCGCCGCCUUAGUAGAUGCACCAGCGCGCUCUGUUGUGCCAUCGCGAUCGCACUGUUUUGUGCUCUUUGUUGCGAAGUCAGCGCGCUGGAGGUGGGCAAGUUUUUUCCCGCCAAGACGCGCAUGAGCGCGAAGGAUCGUUACGAAUCUGUUCUGGCGCUGCAGUCUCUGCAGCGCGCGAUCGACGACCCUGAGCUGCAAAAGGAGGUAGAGUCCGCGCUCAAGGACACAACGAGGGGCUUCGACAUGUGCCGAUCGGCGCUGUACCGCUGCAACCGCGUGACCGGCGCUCUCGAGGAGGCGGUCAUCGAGGGCAUGCGAGACGGAACUGUGAAGUGGGACGAGUAUCCCAAGUCGGUGAAGCGGAUCCGCAUCACGGACUCGAGGCUGAGGCAGCCACUCGUGCUCUCCAGCUUACCUGCGAACCUUGAGGAAUUCGUGGCAACGAACGUGGAGUGGGAGUCCGACUCGAUUCUUCAGGCCCCAGGGAGUGGCGAGGGGGGAGUUGUGAAGGGGCCCUUGGCUCAUCUUCGCGUUUUGCAAUGUGACAACUGCGCUCUCGUGAAGGCAGAGGUGACGACGACGACACCCCAGCUGGAGUGGCUGCAGGUGUUGAGCCUUUCCGGCAAUCCAGACUUGUUCAUCGAUCUCCGCGAGCUGCCGCGCAACCUCCAAUCUCUGCAGCUCUCGUACACACAGCUGGCUCACUCCACGGUCAGGGAGGUAUUGGAGACUGCGCCGGCGUUUCUCUCGCUGCUGAAUAUCAGCUUCACCGGUGUUGCUCUGACCCUCGACAUGCUGCCGUCUGCACGGAAUCAGCUGAAGGCGUUGGAUGUGUCCGGCCUGGAAAGCAACAACCCGGGGUCACCUCUGUCUCUCUCUCAGCUGCAAAGCGCGUGUGGCGAAAGUGGCUUCAGCCUCGCAGAACUGUACCUCACCAGGUGCAGCCUGACGGGCACCCUCCCUCACCUUCGUAACUGCACGAAGCUGAAGGUGAUGGAUGUGUCGCACAACCUCCUCGAUGGCGCCGUGUUCGCUCAACUCCCCGAGAACAUAGAGUUGCUGCGUCUCAACAACAAUGCGAUACAGGGUGGCCUGCGCACCAGCGAACUCCCGCGCACUCUGCGCUCCCUUGAUCUUUCUGAAAACCAUUUCACGGGUGAGGUCGACCUCUCGGCACUGCCGCCGCAGCUGCAGUACCUCAACAUUGGCCACAAUCACUUCAGCGGCCAGGUGAACCUCACGCAGCUACCCGAGUCUGUCAAGUUUGUGUACAUGGAGUAUAACAACUUCACCGGCGCGGCUGACCUCGUCGACCUCCCACUCGGCAUCCGUUUUAUCAUGGUCCACCACAACAACUGGGACUACCUCAUGCCCGCCCCGUGAGAUGGGCCAGCACCAUUUAAGGCGAAAAAGCCGGCGGAAGGGUGCGGCGUUCUUAUUGUGGUGCUCGUGGUGGCAGCCUCAGCUCUCCGUCUUGCUCACCCUCUGCAUCUGAGCCGUUCACCUCCGUCUUCGUCUCUCUCUUUCUCCCCAUGCCAGUGCGCACGUACGUAUCUGCUUUUGGUGGUGAUUAAGCGCGGGGGUGGCGUAGCCAGGCGGUGGCGGCAGGGUUGGGGGGCAUCAAGUCAACAUUGUGCCUGGUUUAUGAGCAGCGAGCACCUUUGGGCUGUAGCACGUGUUGAGGAGAGUAAUAUCCAGCGCAUUCUUGUGUGACUAUCAUUUCGUGCGCCAUGUUACCUUCUCCUGCUCGCCCUUUUUUUUCCUAACACCAUUCGGUUACUUUUUUUCUGCUGCUUUUAG